UGACAGUUUGCGUGUAUAGCACAAAAAAACAAUCCGGACGAUGUGUCAAUAAAUUAUACAAAUAGUGAUAUUCGUGAUGAAAAAUAUAAUAAUGAGUUAUAAAUAAAGUCCCCGAAUAGCCAAGACCGCGGUAUUACAGUAAAUAAACAAUAAUUUUUAUCAUAACAGUGAAUAACAAUAUACUGAUACGUUUUCUAGUUCAAUCUAUGCUGGACCGCACGGAUCCGUUCUGGAUGUUGAGAGCAUUCGAGAUUUAAACACUGAUUAACUGAUGUACAAGCUCGAACAAAAAAUCUUCAGAAACUUGUGAAAAAUUUCCAGUGCUCUUUUUUGAAGCAACCGUUUUUUUCAAUUCCGCAUCCGUUUUUAGACAAAUCACCGCUACCACCAAAGUACUCGUCAAAGCAUAUGAGGGAAAAUCGCUUCAAAAAUCUAGCUAUGCAGAAGAUAGAUUAAGUUAUUCAUCAUCAUAAUGGAACAGGUACACCCAUCCGAAAUCACUUCAGAGUACAAGUCCAGAGUGAUGCCCGUAGAACCUGCUGAAUGCCAUGGCCCAUUAGACUCUGCCGGCUUGAGGGUGCUACUCCUGUUUACCUAGAAGCCGUUUCACCAUGAACAGCUCAUCGCAAAUGUACAAAAGAUACGCUACACACCCAGCUGGCUGGAUCGUAUGGAAGAAAAUUCGUGCCGGAACCGCAGAAAUCGGCAUCCGAGAACAUGCAACUUGGUGACGGAAAACAUUUCGCGAGACGCAAAAUUUGCUUACAUGCAAUAUCAUUGGCUGUAUUAUUAAAUGUAUGUAAAAGACAAUGUAA